rnacentral:lncRNA from 1 species
UAUUCACUACAAUAAAAACGGUGUAUAGCGAUACUUUUAAAUAUCGGUACAGAAAAAAAAAGUGCUGUUGACUAAAUUACCGACACUUUUAAAAAGUGUUACUAUAUGUGAGGUCGUUAGGUAUAAAGUGACAGUUUAAGAGUAUCAGUAUAACGUAAAAAGAGUGCAGUUAAUUUACCAAUACUUAUUUAAAUAUUUAGCAACCGCCGGAACUCUACCUCGUUGGCUACGGUGGCAGAGGAGGAGGAGAGCGAAAGGCUAUUCGUCUAGGGUUUCAGUGGAUUGAGUGAGGAGAGAAGGGGAGAUGGUGAUUAAUUUUUUUUUUUCCCUUUGUGUUUGUAAUCAAACCGAAUGGGCUGGGUGGGGUGGUUUGAUUAGAGUAAUUUUUUAUCUUUUAUUUUUAGUUGGAUUGAGCUUUAUAUUUAGGGCUUAGUAAAUUUUUUAAAAAAUUUUAGCAUAAAUGAGAGAUACUAACAUAAAAAUAUUCUAAACAUGUAUUCCUAUAAUCUAAUUUUGUUGUAGUGAUUCUAGCUUGUUUACUGGUGUUAGUCCCUAACAUGUCCCGAAACCAAAC